rnacentral:lncRNA from 1 species
CGGGGGCUCAUUUCUUCAGGACGGUUGGUCACAUGCAAAGCUGCUGGGGAAGCAGGCUCCUCUGGUUCCUCUGGUUCCUCUGGUCUCGGUACUCCCCCCUGGGUGCUCCCCCAGAGCCCUGCUGGCCCCUCCACUGGGAGCAAAGCGAACGAUACGCACACCAGCAAGCUGGAGGGUGAGAAAGCAGAAAUGAAGUUGUUCCCCCCCCCCCGCCCCGCCCGAAUUACUAUGGAACAAUGUGCAGCUCUAUUGUACUUUAACAAGUCAUCCCGUUGCCAUGGUAACCCGGAAGAGGCCUUUGAAGUUCCUCUGGAUGGACAGAGGGAUGCGGGGCGCGGGCCCUGCGGCUCCCGGGCUGGCCGCCAGAGGGCGCGCUCGGGGCGGGGAAGCGCAGCAGGAAUGACAAAAAGGAGGCCCAGUGACCAGUUUAGGAAUAAGAACGAGCGCAAAUACCCGCAAAAGAUCGACGUGUGGAUUUAACACAAAAUGUGCCCAAAUCAGCUGCUUUAAAAAGAAAAGAAAUGGACUAAACCGUUCCUCGGAUUGACUUGCUUAUGUGAAGAGUCGAGAAAGCCAAAACAAUCUUGACAAAGAGGAGGUUGAGGACUCACCCUUCCGAUUUCCCCGCGAACUACGAGUUACAGUAACUGACACUUACCAAUAGUAUUUUCCAGCCUGUGAACGUGGACUUUUUCCCUCAAUGUAUUUAGAUCUUUAAGAAAUGCCUUUGAAAAAAUAUCUUCUAUGUUUUUAAAUCAAUAGACCUAUUUUUCUUUAAGAGCAGUGUUAGGUUCCCAGAGCGAUCGUUGUAGAACGUUCAGUCGCCAUGUGACACCCCACCCCCACCACACAGGUUCCCCCGUUUUUAACACCUUGCAUUUGUGUGAUACACGUGUUACAGGUGAUGAGCCAAAAUCAAGAUGUUGUUAUUAACCAAAGUCUACAGUUUACAUUAGGAUUCACAAUUUGUGUUGUUCAUUCUGUGGGUUUGGACAAACACAGUAGCACCGUGUGUCCACCGGUACAGUAUCGUACAGAGUGAUCUCACCACCCUAAAAUUUGCCUGUG